AGUGAACGCUGGCGGUAGGCCUAACACAUGCAAGUCGAACGGCAGCACAGGAGAGCUUGCUCUCUGGGUGGCGAGUGGCGGACGGGUGAGGAAUACAUCGGAAUCUACUCUGUCGUGGGGGAUAACGUAGGGAAACUUACGCUAAUACCGCAUACGACCUACGGGUGACAGCAGGGGAUCUUCGGACCUUGCGCGACUGAAUGAGACGAUGUCGGAUUAGCUAGUUGGCGGGGUAAAGGCCCACCAAGGCGACGAUCCGUAGCUGGUCUGAGAGGAUGAUCAGCCACACUGGAACUGAGACACGGUCCAUACUCCGACGGGAGGCAGCAGUGGGGAAUAUUGGACAAUGGGCGCAAGCCUGAUCCAGCCAUACCGCGUGGGUGAAGAAGGCCUUCGGGUUGUAAAGCCCUUUUGUUGGGAAAGAAAUCCAGCUGGUUAAUACCCGGUUGGGAUGACGGUACCCAAAGAAUAAGCACCGGCUAACUUCGUGCCAGCCGCCGCAGUAA
rnacentral:rRNA from 1 species